rnacentral:lncRNA from 1 species
UCUUCACUUUUAAUUUGUCCAUAGUAAUCUGGAUGGUAAUUUUUUUAAAGAAAGAAAGAUAGGGAUGGUGAAGUCAAGCUUCUUGUCUAUUUUGUGUUUGACCCAGACUCUACAGGAUAGAGAAUUGUGACGUACUGGUAGAAAGCCCUGAGGGGAGGAAAAAGAAAUGGACAUUUACUCAAGUAAUAUAAGCUGCCACAGGAACUGGACAGAAAAUCACCAGUUAUAACUGCUGCAAAAGGAACCAAGGCACUUUUGUACUGCCAACCAAAUGUUGUAAGGAACUGAACCCAAUUCCUUCCUGUUGCUGCCUGCAUGGUAUGGCUGCCUGGAGAAAGGAGAGAUUGCAGAUGCUGGGCAACUGUUCAAAAAGACACUUAUAGAGGGAAGAGAGAUUCAUCAGCUAAGUAUCCAGCAGUAAUGUUCACAUAGUAAACCCCAUCAAAAUUGAGAGUGUAAGUGAAGUAUACAUUAUUGAUAAAGAUCAGUUUGAUCUUUAAGUUGUUUUUUUUUGAUCUUUGAUCUUAAGGUUUCUGGAGGGAGAAGAGACCAAUGCGAAGUGAUGCUGCUACCAACUUUUAGUUGCAAUGCUAUAGCCAUUUUCUGAUACUGUGCUCAUUCCUAUUAAAAAAAAAAAUAAAUCUCAGUUCCUUAAAAAUUAAGAAAGUGUC